GGAAGGAUCAUUAACACUAAUCCAAUCAACUCAAUCAAGCCUUCAGUUGCAUCAGUGGUACGAGCUAGCGCAAGCAAAGCAGUAUAGCUGUUGCAGCAACUAACAAACUAAUUCACGCAAAGGAGCAUAACUAAGCUCAACCAAAAAAACCAAAUUCUCAACGAUGGAUAUCUUGGUUCCCAUAACGAUGAAGAACGCAGCGAAGUGCGAUAAGCAAUGCGAAUUGCAGAACCGUGAGUCAUCAGAUUUUUGAACGCAUCUGGCGCCAACUGGCUCUCCAGUUGGCAUGCUUGUUUCAGUGUCUCGUUUUCUCCUCACCCAAAGCUUAAUGCGAGAGAUACCCUUCUCUUGCCAAGCAUGAAAGCACUCUGUGCUCUGCGAGCGGCUUCUUGACUUGUUCAAGUGUCGCACUCAAUGCAGUCGUCACAUUUCUUUUAAUGUGAACUCAUUGAGAGUAGAGGCUUUGCAGUUUAUUCUGCCAGUGCUUAGUCACUUAAACUUUCUUUGCAUCUGAAAUCAAGCAGGAUCACCCGCUGAACUUAAGCAUAUCACUAAGCGGAGGAAAAGAAAUUAACUAAGAUUGCCUCAGUAACGGCGAGUGAAGCGGCAAGAGCCCAAACUGUAAAUCUUCGCACCUCGUGCGACGAAUUGUAAUCUAAAGAUGGUUCGCUCACCGGGUGGUGGCGCAGAAGUGCCCUAGAACGGGCCGCCAGAGAGGGUGACAGCCCCGUAUGUGGUGCCACUGCCUAACGAGCGGGUUAUCAAAGAGUCGGGUUGUUUUGUAUUGCAGCCCUAAGUGGGAGAUAAACUUCUUCUAAGGCUAAAUAUCUAUGGGAAACCGAUAGCGAACAAGUACUGUGAAGGAAAGAUGAAAAGAACUUUGAAAAGAGAGUCAAAAGACUUGAAAUCGUUGAGAAGGAAGCGGUAGAAAUUUAUUCUUCGGCGGAGAACGGUGGUAGUUGCCUAACCUUUGUCUAUUGUCAGUACUUAAUCGGCUGCGGUGGGCACAUGGGGAAGCGGCUACUUUGUUCCUCGUCGUGAGGCAAAAUGAGGUCGUGCAUCCACAGAAGCUUCUUAGACCUGGCUUGAUUCGUCAGGCAGUCUGGGUGUGCUGGUGGGCGCAUGGCCUGAGGGUGCUUUGUGCGAUUUUGCCAAAAUGGUUUUUACCGACCCGUCUCGAAACACGGACCAAGGAGUCUAACAUAUAUGCGAGUGUGCUGGUGGAAAAACCAACACGCGUAAUGAAGGUGAGCGAUGCCAAGCGCAAGCAGCAGCAUCGACCGACCAUGAUCCUCUGGAGAAAGGUUUGAGUUCGAGCAUAUCUGUUAGGACCCGAAAGAUGGUGAACUAUGCCUGAGUAGGGUGAAGCCAGGGGAAACUCUGGUGGAGGCUCGUAGCGGUACUGACGUGCAAAUCGUUCGUCAAACUUGGGUAUAGGGGCGAAAGACUAAUCGAACCAUCUAGUAGCUGGUUCCCUC
rnacentral:misc_RNA from 1 species